rnacentral:lncRNA from 1 species
AUAAUUUGAAUGAAUGAUAUUAAUCCAACAAACUGAUGUGAUUAAGAGCACUAAUUGUCUGGUAUCUUAAGGUAGAUCUCACUAAAAGUAAAAAAAGGUUAGGGUAAAUGCAUUUUCAAUAGUUCUAGGAAAAAUGCAUUUUCAAAAAUUGACCCCAAUGACCUCUUUAAAAGAUAAUAUAUCAUGAUUUUGGGUUACACAUUCGUCGAAUCUCUCGUGCCAGUUGGCUUUCAUGCACAAAACGUAUUUUCGUCCUGGCUUUCAUGCACAACAAUUUAUUUUCCUCCUUUUCUACUCUUUGCAAUUUUACGACUGUUUUAUCUAUACUAUUAAAGCAGGAUCCUAUUGUCCUUUUUACCUUGGUUCAAGGCAUGGUUUAUUGCAAGUCUUGCAAGUACUCCGGCAUUAAUACGCUCCUAGAAGCAUCUCCUCUUCAAGGUUGUUACAUUAUAAUCUCUGGUCUCUUUUAAUUUUUCUAAUUAUUUUAGUCUCGUAGAUCUAUAACUUUAUAAGUUAAUUUUCACAUGAGCUGGAUUGACCUUGUCUUCGUUUUUUUUUCAUCGUUGCAUGUUUAGGAGGUUUACUUCCAUGACAUAAUCUUCACAAUGCAUGCAUUAGGUUCUCGCAAAAAAUACAUCACAUCAAACUUUAUGGCUGCAAAAUUUUUGGAUUAAUUAACUUUUGUUCAAAGAGAUUAGUCUGAUGAAUUUAGUUUAAAGACUCGUUUACUUACCAUGCAUGCAUUGUUAGGCUGAUUUUCCCAUGAAAUAAUUUGAAUGAAUGAUAUUAAUCCAACAAACUGAUGUGAUUAAGAGCACUAAUUGUCUGGUAUCUUAAGGUAGAUCUCACUAAAAGUAAAAAAAGGUUAGGGUAAAUGCAUUUUCAAUAGUUCUAGGAAAAAUGCAUUUUCAAAAAUUGACCCCAAUGACCUCUUUAAAAGAUAAUAUAUCAUGAUUUUGGGUUACACAUUCGUCGAAUCUCUCGUGCCAGUUGGCUUUCAUGCACAAAACGUAUUUUCGUCCUGGCUUUCAUGCACAACAAUUUAUUUUCCUCCUUUUCUACUCUUUGCAAUUUUACGACUGUUUUAUCUAUACUAUUAAAGCAGGAUCCUAUUGUCCUUUUUA